AUGGCCAUGGCAACGGCGGCGACGGAGGAGGACAGGACGCGGUUGUGCGACCUCCCGGAGGCGUGCGUGGCGCACGUGCUCGCGCUCACCUCGCCGCGGGACGCGUGCCGCUGCGCCGCCGUGUCGCCGUGCUUCCGCGACGCGGCCGAGUCCGACGUCAUCUGGGCGCGCUUCCUCCCGCUGGACUACCGCGCCAUCCUCCAGCUGCACCAGGCGCCGGCGCGGCGCCUCCCCCUCUCGCGCUCCGGCUCCAUGGCGGCGUCGCCGUCGGGCUCGAGCAAGAAGGAGGCCUUCCUCGGGCUCACCGACGUGGCCGUGCUGGUGGAGGACGGCGGCAUGGCGGUGUGGCUGGCCAGGGGGAGCGGGGCCAAGUGCGUGGCGCUGUCGGCGAGGAGGCUCAGCCUGCCGUGGGAGGACGGCGAGUUCAGCUGGAGGUGGACGCCCCACCCGCUCUCCAGGUUCGCGGAUGUGGCCCAGCUGGUGGAUUGCAUGUGCCUGGACAUCUACGGCCGGCUCCCCACCACGGCGCUGACGCCGGCCACUGCCUACGCAACAUACCUCGUCUUCGCCACCACGGACGCCCACCGCGGCCUGAGCUUCCCGGACCAGGAGACAACGGUUAGCCUGGGUGGCAGUGCCCCAUCCCGGCAUACCGUGUGCAUCCGCCCCGACACCGCUGAGGCACGCAGGUUCAGAGGCGGGAAAGGUGCGCACGGCGUCGACGUGAGGGGGCCGGUGCUGCGCGGCGACGGGUGGUGGGAGAUAGAGAUGGGGCGGCUGCGCACCGGCAACGAGGCAGUGGUGGGGGAGGAGGUGGCAGUGAGCUUUGAGAUGCUGGGGUGGUACCCCAAGCGCGGGCUCGUCGUGGAAGGCGUCGAGUUCAGGCCCCUAUGA
rnacentral:rRNA from 1 species